rnacentral:rRNA from 1 species
AGUGAAUAGAUACCCGGGUAGUCCACGCUGUAAACGAUCAAUACUAGGUGUGCGGGGACUGACCCCCUGUGUGCCGGAGUUAAACACAAUAAGUAUUGCACCUGGGGAGUACGAUCGCAAGGUUGAAACUCAAAGGAAUUGACGGGGGCCCGCACAAGCGGUGGAUUAUGUGGUUUAAAUUCGAAGCAACGCGAAGAACCUUACCAGGGCUUGACAUCCUACUAAUGAAGCAGAGAUGCAUUAAGUGCCCUUCGGGGAAAGUAGAGACAGGUGGUGCAUGGUUGUCGUCAGCUCGUGUCGUGAGAUGUUGGGUUAAGUCCCGCAACGAGCGCAACCCCUAUUGUUAGUUGCUACGCAAGAGCACUCUAGCGAGACUGCCGUUGACAAAACGGAGGAAGGUGGGGACGACGUCAAAUCAUCAUGCCCCUUAUGUCCUGGGCCACACACGUAAUACAAUGGCGGUCAACAGAGGGAUGCUAAGCCGUGAGGUGGAGCGAACCCCUAAAAGCCGUCUCAGUUCGGAUUGCAGGCUGCAAC